rnacentral:rRNA from 1 species
UACAGAGGGUGCGAGCGUUAUCCGGAUUCACUGGGUUUAAAGGGUGCGUAGGUGGAUUAGUAAGUCAGUGGUGAAAUCUCCGGGCUUAACCCGGAAACUGCCAUUGAUACUAUUAGUCUUGAAUACCGUGGAGGUCAGCGGAAUAUGUCAUGUAGCGGUGAAAUGCUUAGAUAUGACAUAGAACACCAAUUGCGAAGGCAGCUGGCUACACGAGCAUUGACACUCAGGCACGAAAGCGUGGGGAUCAAACAGG